CCCUUAGAUGUCCUGGGCCGCACGCGCGCUACACUGACGGAGCCAGCGAGCUUACCCCUUUGCCGAAAGGCAUGGGAAAUCUUUUGAAUCUCCGUCGUGCUGGGGAUAGAUCAUUGCAAUUAUUGAUCUUGAACGAGGAAUUCCUAGUAAGCGCAAGUCAUCAACUUGCGUUGAUUACGUCCCUGCCCUUUGUACACACCGCCCGUCGCUACUGCCGAUUGAACGGUUUAGUGAGGGCCUCGGAUUGGUCUCGGCCCGCUCUUUACCGGGCGGCGCCGUUGGUCGAGAAGACGCUCGAACUUGAUCGUUUAGAGGAAGUAAAAGUCGUAACA
rnacentral:rRNA from 1 species